GGACCGCCCCUCAGCGUAGCGUCAGCCAAUGAGAGUAGUGGCAUCGAACGCCGGUGGUCUCCAUGGAAACACUGGAGGGAGGAGGGGAAGUGGUUACCUAGCAACUGGGAGAUGCUGCGAGGCCCCGCCAAGCGGUCGAAAAGUGCAUUUCCAGAGCCUGAGGAACCCGAGCUGACAGAUCGUGGACAGGGGCGACAGACUCCUAGUUGUCCCCUAGCUCCCAGGAGCCCUCGGCUCCAACCCAGUCAUGACGUCUCCCCUCUGCAGGGCGGCCUCCGCCAACGCCCUUCCUGCUCAGGACCAGGUUACGACUCCAUCUUCCAAGGCCAAACACAAGAAGGCUUCAGCCAAGCCCAGCCACCCCCGAAGCAAGGGCGCGGUCCAGGCCUGGUCUCCUCGCCAUUUCAAGGUCGGAUCCUUCCGCCGUGGUAUAGGGAAGCCCUCUGUGCACUUGCAGGUGGCUGAGUUGCAAAGAAAGAUACAACUGUUAGAGGGGGACCGGAAGGCCUUUUAUGAGAGCUCCCAGUGGAACAUCAAGAAGAACCAGGAAACCAUUAAUCAACUCCAUGAGGAGAAUAAGGCACUUGAAUUACAGCUGACAGACCUGCUCAAGAGAGAUGAGAAAGUGGUCCAGGCAGUGAUUCAGGAAUGGAAGUCAGAGAAGCCAUAUCUGAAGAAUAGGACAGGCCAGCAAGCCCUAGAGCACCUGGACUACCGGCUGAGUGAGAAGGUGAAGCAGCUCAAUGCCCUGCGGCACCAGGUUGUGUUGCGGCAGAGCCGGCUGGAGGAGCUGCAGCUCCAGUACCGCCUUCGCCACCUGGAGAUGGCCGAGGCGCAAGACAGCAACACAGAGGUAGCCAAGACCAUGCGGAACUUGGAGAACCGACUGGAGAAGGCCCGGAUGAAGGCAGAGGAGGCAGAACACAUUACUGGUGUGUACCUGCAUCUCAAAGCCUAUCUACAGGAGGAGAGCCUUAACUUGGAGAACCGGCUGGAUUCCAUGGAGGCUGAGGUGGUGCGAACCAAACACGAGCUGGAGGAACUGCACGUGGUGAACCAAGAGGCCCUCAAUGCCCGGGACAUUGCCAAGAACCAGCUUCAGUAUCUGGAGGAGACUGUGUUACAAGAGCGCAGGAAGCGCGAGCGCUACGUGACUGAGUGCAAGAAGCGUGCAGAGGAAAAGAAACUGGAGAAUGAGCGCAUGGAACGUAAGACUCAGCGCGAGCAUCUGCUGCUGCAAUCCGAUGAUACUACCCAGGAUACCCAGCAUGCCAGGGAGGAGGAGCUACGAAAACGAUGGAGCAUGUACCAGAUGGAGGUGAUCUUUGGCAAGGUCAAGGAUGCCACUGGCACAGCCGAAACGCAUUCGGUGGUGCGGCGGUUCCUGGCCCAGGGAGACACCUUCGCACAGUUGGAGACGCUCAAGAGGGAGAAUGAGCAGACACUGGUGAAGCUGAAGCAAGAGAAGCUGAGGCUACAACGGGAACUUGAAGAUCUCAAGUACUCUGGAGAGGCUGCGCUGGUGAGCCAACAGAAGCUGCAAACUGAGAUGGAGGAGCGCCUUAAGAUGGAGAAGAAGCGGCAUGCUGAGGCGCAGGAGCAGCUGGAUCGUGCCUUGAGGGCCAUGCAAACUGCCAAGGAGAGUCUGGAGCACCUGGCUAGCAAGCUGAGCCAUGUGACCGUGGUAGGCCUGAGCCCUGAGGAAGCCCCACCAGACCCUUGCAAGACCUAACAGACACAGUCACUCAGAUGGGAUUCCUGCCACAUUGGCCUACCCAGGGAGUCCAAGCCCUCCUCAGUCCUGGACAUCAGAGGCCCUGCCCACAGUGGGAGCCCCUCCACAGUGGCUCAUGCCUUGUAAUCCUAGCACUCUAGGAGGCCGAAGGAUUGCCGGAGCUCACACGUUUGAGACCAGCCUGAGCCAGAACAGGACUACCUCUAAAAAUAGCCGGGCGUUGUGAUGGGUGCCUGUAGUCCCAGCUACUUGGGAGGCUGAAGUAAGAGAAUCACUUGAGCCCAAGAGUUUGAGGUUGCUGUGAGCUGUGAUGCGGUGGCACUCUACCCAGAGCAAAAAAAUGAGACUCUAUCUCAAAAAAGAAAAUAAAAGGCUCGGCGCCUGUGGCUUAAGCAGCUAAGGCGCCAGCCACAUACACCUGAGCUGGCGGGUUCAAAUCCAGCCGGGGCCUGCCAAACAACAAUGACGGCUGCAACUAAAAAAUAGCCGGGCAUUGUGGCGGGCGCCUGUAGUCCCAGCUACUUGGGAGGCGGAGGCAGCAUAAUCACUUGAGCUUAGGAGUUGGAGGUUGCUGUGAGCUGUGAUGCCACAGCACUCUACCCAGGGUGACAGCUUGAGGCUCUGUCUCAAAAAAAAAAAAUAGAAAAACUAACCAGGUGUGGUGGCACAUACCUGUAGUUCCUGCUACUCCAGAGGCUAAGGCAGGAGGAUCUCUUGAACUCAGGAGUUUGAGGUUGUUGUGAGUUAGCACUCUAGCUUAGGCAACAGAGUGAGACUCUCAGGAAAAGAAAUAAAAGACUUCAGAAACUCUGCCCAGGGUGGCGACUGUGGCUCAGUGGGUAGGGUGCCGGCCCCCAUAUACCGAGGGUGGUGGGUUCAAACCCAGCCCCAGCCAAACUGCAACAACAACAAAAAAAUAGCCGGGCGUUGUGGCGGGCACCUGUAGUCCCAGCUACUUGGGAGGUUGAGGCAAGAGAAUUGCCUAAACCCAAGGAUUUGGAGGUUGCUGUGAGCUGUGAUUCUACGGCACUCUACCAAGGGUUAAUAAGUGAGACUCUGUCUCAAAAAAAAAAAUAAAUAAAUGAAACUACCCAGAUUGAAGCCCCAUCCCCAUGGUAGAGGGCCACCCAGCCCCCACACAAAAUCUCGGAGACCCCAACUCCAGUCAUGGAUUGGUGAGUUAGGACAAGCCCAUCUUACUCUCUGCAGAGACACAUUUUUUUUUGCAGUUUUUGGCCGGGGCUGGGUUUGAACCUGCUACCUCCAGUAUAUUGGGCUGGUACCCUACUCCUUUGAGCCACAGGCACCACCCAGAGACACGUUUUUUUUUUGAGACAGAGUCUCAUUUUGUCGCCCUUGGUAGAGUGCAGUGGCAUCACAGCUCACAGCAACCUCAAACUCUUAGGCUUAAGCGAUUCUCUUGCCUCACUUCCCCCCCAAGUAGCUGGUACUACAGGCGCCCGCCACGGAGCCUGGCUAUUUUUUAGAUGUAAUAGCCAUUGUUGUUUUAGCAGGCCCAGGCCAGGUUUGAACCCACCAGCCCCGUUGUAUGUGGCUGGCGCCCUAACCACUGAGCUAUGGCGCCAAGCCAGAGACACUUUUUUUUUUUUUUUUUUUUGAGACAGAGUCACCCUCGGUAGAGUGCUGUGGCAUCACAGCUCACAGCAACCUCAAACUCUUGGGCUUAAGCAAUUCUCUUGCCUCAGCCUUCCAAGUAGCUGGGACUAUAGGCACCCACCACAACACCUGGCUAUUUUAUUUUUAUUUUUUUGGUUGUAGUUGUCAUUGUUUGGCAGGCCCUGGCUGGGUUCCAACCCACCAGCUCCAGUGUAUGUGGCUGGCGCUUUAGCCAUUGAGCUACAGGCGCCAAGCCCAGAGACGCGUGUUUUAGAAGACCAUCCCCACAAUGGCCUCUCAGGAGUAACUAUCCGACCCCCACCUAGAGAGUCCCCCACUCUUUUCACAUCUCUGUUGAAUUCAGAGGUUCUGCCCUCACAGGCAUGCCUUGACUCCAGAGUCCCCGCCCUCAGUAUCUAGCACCUACACCUAUGGGUGGCUCUUACCUCAAAUGCCCCACCCCUAAGAGAAAAGACCUUUCCCUGAGUGGAGCCCUACAGAGGCCCUGAUCCCCCCCUGGAUCUCUGGCCGCAGGAGCAGAGCAGCUUCGCAGAAAAGGAGUUGGAUCCCAAGGCAGUAGACGAAGAA